AUCACCUGAUGUAUCAGCUAAACAUUUAUGGGUAUACGAGGGGCUUGCGUCUGAUUAGCUAGUUGGUGGGGUAAUGGCUCACCAAGGCGAUGAUCAGUAGGGGAUCUGAGAGGAUUAUCCCCCACAUGGGUACUGAGACACGGACCCAACUCCUACGGGAGGCAGCAGUAGGGAAUAUUGGGCAAUGGAGGCAACUCUGACCCAGCCAUGCCGCGUGCAGGAAGACGGCCCUUAGGGUUGUAAACUGCUUUUAUCAAAGAAGAAAAGGUAGCCUGGGGGUUAUUGUGACGGUAUUUGAUGAAUAAGCACCGGCUAACUCCGUGC
rnacentral:rRNA from 1 species